UGUAGUUGGAGAUGUUGCUGCCCGGGUUGCUGCACUGGAGGUUCCUCCUGGAGCAGAGGUGGCUGAUGCUCCUGUGGUGCUUCCUGCAGUGGUUCUGGAGGUGCUGGCAGUGCUGGUGGCCUCACUGGGCACAGUUGUUGGGGGAGGAAUGAUGAUGGUUGUGCCUUCAGUCUGAGGGGGAGA